rnacentral:pre_miRNA from 1 species
AGGUAGAUAGAACAGGUCUUGUUUGCAAAAUAAAUUCAAGACCUACUUAUCUACCAACA